rnacentral:tRNA from 1 species
GGGUCGUUAGCUCAGUUGGUAGAGCAGCGGACUCUUAAUCCGUAGGUCGAGCGUUCGAACCGCUCACGACCCACCA